rnacentral:rRNA from 1 species
GAGUUUGAUCAUGGCUCAGGACGAACGCUGGCGGCGUGCCUAACACAUGCAAGUCGAGCGAUGAAACCCCUUCGGGGGUGGAUUAGCGGCGGACGGGUGAGUAACACGUGGGUAACCUGCCUCAAAGUGGGGGAUAGCCUUCCGAAAGGAAGAUUAAUACCGCAUAAAGCCAAGUUUCACAUGGAAUUUGGAUGAAAGGAGUAAUUCGCUUUGAGAUGGACCCGCGGCGCAUUAGUUAGUUGGUGGGGUAAUGGCCUACCAAGACAGCGAUGCGUAGCCGACCUGAGAGGGUGAUCGGCCACAUUGGAACUGAGAUACGGUCCAGACUCCUACGGGAGGCAGCAGUGGGGAAUAUUGCACAAUGGGCGAAAGCCUGAUGCAGCAACGCCGCGUGAGUGAUGAAGGUCUUCGGAUUGUAAAGCUCUGUCUUUUGGGACGAUAAUGACGGUACCAAAGGAGGAAGCCACGGCUAACUACGUGCCAGCAGCCGCGGUAAUACGUAGGUGGCAAGCGUUGUCCGGAUUUACUGGGCGUAAAGGGUGCGUAGGCGGAUGUUUAAGUGAGAUGUGAAAUACCCGGGCUUAACUUGGGUGCUGCAUUUCAAACUGGAUAUCUAGAGUGCAGGAGAGGAGAAUGGAAUUCCUAGUGUAGCGGUGAAAUGCGUAGAGAUUAGGAAGAACACCAGUGGCGAAG